rnacentral:rRNA from 1 species
GAUGAACGCUGGCGGCGUGCCUAAUACAUGCAAGUCGAGCGAACAGACGAGGAGCUUGCUCCUCUGUCGUUAGCGGAGGACGGGUGAGUAACACGUGGAUAACCUACCUAUAUGACUGGGAUAACUUCGGGACACCGGCGCUAACCCCGGAUAAUCUAUUGAUCCGCAUGGUUCGUUAGUGAAAGUCGGUUUUGCUGUCUCUUAUCGCUGCAUCCGCGCUGCUUUGGCUGGUUGGUAAGGUAACGGGUUUCCACGGCGACCAGGCGUAGCCGACCGGCGAGGGGGAUCGGCCACACGGGAACGGAGACGCGGACCAUAGGCCUACGGGAGGCACCAGUAGGCAAUCUUCCGCAAUAGGCGAAAGCCUGACGGAGCAACGCGGCGUGAGUGAUGAAGGUCUUCGGAUCGUAAAACACUGUUAUGAGUGAAGAACAAAUGUGUAAGUAACUAUGCACGUCUUGACGGUACCUGAUCAGAAAGCCACGGCUAACUACGUG